rnacentral:misc_RNA from 1 species
UUAAGUUCAGCGGGUUUUCUUGCCCAAUUUCAGACCAAGUUAACAGAUUAUCCAGCAAAGCUGAAGAAUCUGAGUAUUAGGAGUGCACGGCACUGGUAUUGCAAGUGGAGAGCUCAUAAGAUGGGAAGCGAACUUUUAAUUCAUCUUUUUGCACCUUUAAAGCUAACCAGCAACAGCCGAAGCCAGCACAAUCACUUUGA